UAAGCGGAGGAAAAGAAACUAACAAGGAUUCCCCUAGUAACUGCGAGUGNAGCGGGAAAAGCUCAAANUAAAAUCUGGCGGUCUUNGGCCGUCCGAGUUGUAAUUUAGAGAAGCGUCUUCCGCGCUGGACCGUGCACAAGUCUCCUGGAAUGGAGCGUCAUAGAGGGUGAGAAUCCCGUCUUUGGCACGGAUGCCUGGUGCUUCUGUGAUGCGCUCUCGAAGAGUCGAGUUGUUUGGGAAUGCAGCUCAAAAUGGGUGGUGAACUCCAUCUAAAGCUAAAUAUUGGCGAGAGACCGAUAGCGAACAAGUACCGUGAGGGAAAGAUGAAAAGCACUUUGGAAAGAGAGUGAAACAGUACGUGAAAUUGUUGAAAGGGAAACGCUUGAAGUCAGUCGCGUCGACCGAGACUCAGCCUUGCCUUGGCUUGGUGUACUUCUCGGCCCGACGGGUCAGCAUCAAUUUUGCCCCUCGGAUAAUGGCAAGGGGAAGGUGGCACCUUUACGGGUGUGUUAUAGUCUCCUGUCGAAUGCGAGGGGUGGGAUUGAGGAACUCAGCGCGCACCUCAGUGUCGGGGCUUCGGCCCACGUCACGCGCUUAGGAUGCUGGCGUAAUGGCUUUAAACGACC
rnacentral:rRNA from 1 species